CCGUGGUCCAGUUGAAAGUGCAGGUGGAAGAGAGAGGCUUGUGUAAACACAGACCCUCCUCCGUGCGGUGAUGUUUUGCCUCAGCGGUGAUAGCAGCUACCAUGACCAGCCUCCGCGCGCCUCCGCUCCUCAGAUACUGAACAUGUGGCAGAAGAAGAUAAAGAACCUCACUGGUGAGAUGCUGCUGUGCUGUCAGCAAAUGCCUGCUAGUGCCAGCUUAUCCAGGGCAAGGGUCACGGGGGCAGCAGCCUAAGAAAAGAAGCCCAGAACUUUCUCUCCCCAGCCACCUCCUCCCGCUUACACCAAGGUGCUCCCAGGACAGCCGAGAGAUAUAAUCUUCCCUGCUUAUCCUGGGUCUACCCUAGGGCCUCCUCCCGUUAAGACAUGCAUGGAACACCUCACCCACGAGGUGUCCAGGAGGCAUUCUUGUAAAAUGCCCGAAUCAUGUCAACGGAUUCCUUUUCAAACCAUUCAAAGACGGAAGCCCAGUCGGUCUGAUCCCUGGAGACAAAUGUCUCAGAUCAAUAGAUCGGUCAUCAUCAGCACCCCAUCACAAGCAAUAAAAGACACUAUCAAAAAAACAUAAUCAUUGCUAGCCAUCCACACAUGAUGUGACUUCCACAGACAAAGAGAGAUGUCUCCAAAACUUCAGGAACAAGCAGUAGUGUCUGUACAAUCCUAACAUUACUAACUCAAAGCAGUCUAUAUAUUUCAGAGUGUUUUAGGCUGAGGUUCCUGAUACGGGAAAUGUUAUGGCAGAAAUUUGGCCUUCCUCCUGAUGUUUACAUUCUGCAGGUAAAAGGAGAACAAAGAGAGAAACGGGGAGAGAGGAAAGAGACACAUAUUCAGAAAACUGCUUAUAGCAGCAGAACUUAACCCCAAGAUUCUGCCAAGAAUAAGAGCUUCUGGGCAUGGACGCAAUAUAUUAUGGCUAACAUUAGCGCUUAGAGGUUCUCCGAAGGGGCGUUAGCUUGUAUUGUAUUAGCAUGAGUGAUGGAGCGGAUAAAAUAAGCCUACUUAAUAACAUGUUAAAAACACCUGGUCUUUAAAUGUUCUCACAAGCUGCUGGUAUAGGGACAUCACAUAAUGCGAUGUGUUUCUGUGUAAUGUGAGUAUUUCAGCCUGGUAUUGAUUGUCUUUGAAACUAAUUGUGAGCCAUGAGCCAAGAAGAGAAAAACUCUCAGAAAGUCAGAAAACUUGGCACAGCUCAAAAGCCGAGAUCCCCGGAGGAGCCAGCCGUCAUCAUUCUGUUCUGUGAAUAAGAAAAACAUGCCCAGCGGAGCCGUAAUGAGGUCACUUAUCAGCGAGGGCACUCGGAGGGUGUGCCACGCUUCCUCUCAGCAUCCCUCCAUCUGUCAGAGGGAGAGGACCAGUGACCUCACCAAGUCCUGCCAGUAAUAUCAUGUGGCGUCAAACUCCACGACAGGCUUCAAAGUUGACUGAAGGACCAGCAAGUCCAAACUUUGUCGAAGAAUAGACCAGGUCUCGUUUUUCUUCUAACUGCAUUAAUUAAAAAAC